AUCUCCCGGACGGGUGUCUGCCCCGUCCUCCCAGACAGCGCUGCGUCCUCAUCUCCGCGGCAGGCUUGUCGGCGAGGUUCCCGGUUACACCUGUAAUGAAGACAGAGUCCUGACUUUCAGACACUCCUGUAAAUUACUUCUUGUGCAACUGAAUUUGGACUGCCUGUUGUUGCUGGAUUAUGUGCAAAGUGUAGUAUGUGCUAAAAUGUUUCUUUUUUUUCUGACAAUUUUGACAACACCUAAUGUUGCAUAGCUUUGGAAUACAUAAAUUGUGGAAAAACUUGACUACAGAGAAACAGGAAAAUUAAAUGCUGGUAAUCUAUAAUAA